ACUGCCCGCAGACCUCGGCACCGCGUACACAUUCAGGUCCGCAGCACACCUCCCUUCGCACGACAUCUUACCCACUGCCUCACGCUGUAGAGUGAAGAAGGGAGACUCCCCUCCUGCCGCUGCCGUUUCCUUCAGCCUCUGAGGAAAACGAGCACAGGACGUGUCUCUGCCGCAGAGAAUCCCUGUGCUCUUCUCCCCAUGCCACGGCUGCCCUCAGCCCUCGGGUGGGUCUGCCCGAGCCUGCCAGGCUGUGCGGGUAUGAACAUCACCUGGGGUCUCAACAUCUCUCCCUCAGGCCCCAGCCCCACCCCGUCCCGCCGAAUCACACCGCACUGCAGACGUAUCCAGUCAUCGCCUUUCUCCACCCGUGCAGAAAAAGCAGAACAGAGUCUCACAGGAAAUGUCCCUCAUAUUUUGGAGGAAGGACAACUUCAGGGAACAUUUCCUGACAGAGCUGUGCUGGGGAGUGGUCCAGGAAAUUUAUUCUAGUCUGACCUUGUUUUACCAAGAGACUGCUAGAGGUGAAGUGAUUAAGUUUCUUCAUAUAUGAUUUCUUCCACCUCUAAUGUGGAUGGAUUCCAGGAAACCCAGAAACAAUAACUAACAAGAUCUGAGCAGAGGAAGGAGAGGAAUGGCAAAUAAACGUUUUCCAGUGUGGGGUCAGGAGGAUAUUGGAUCUUCCAAUGUGCUCAACAAAUGGGUUUAAUAAUGCACAUUUCAGUAUAAAACAGUUCACAACAGAAAUAUUUGCUACUCAGCCCAUUUAUCCUGGGAAUUACACAACAUGGACCAUUUUCAAUAACUCUCUUCACAAUAAUGAUUUCCUCCUGCUCAAGCAACAGAGAUGUAUAAACUGUUUUGGUCUAGAAAUGUAAUAUUGAGAUACGGAUGUGUUAAAGAAUAAUUAAA